rnacentral:rRNA from 1 species
UACAGGGGGGGCAAGCGUUGUUCGGAAUUACUGGGCGUAAAGGGUCAGUAGGCGGCCAACUAAGUCCGACGUGAAAUCCCCAGCUUAACCUGGGAACUGCGUCGGAUACUGGAUGGCUUGAAUUCGGGAGAGGGAUGCAGAAUUCCAGGUGUAGCGGUGAAAUGCGUAGAUAUCGGGAGGAACACCAAUGGCGAAGGCAGCUCGCUGGGACGUGACUGACGCUGAGACGCGAAAGCGUGGGGAG